GAACGAACGCUGGCGGCAUGCCUAACCCAUGCAAGUCGAACGAGACCUUCGGGUCUAGUGGCGCACGGGUGCGUAACGCGUGGGAACCUGCCCUUAGGUUCGGAAUAACUCCCCGAAAGGGGUGCUAAUACCGGAUAAUGUCUUCGGACCAAAGAUUUAUCGCCUUUGGAUGGGCCCGCGUUGGAUUAGCUAGUUGGUAGGGUAAAAGCCUACCAAGGCGACGAUCCAUAGCUGGUCUGAGAGGAUGAUCAGCCACACUGGGACUGAGACACGGCCCAGACUCCUACGGGAAGCAGCAGUGGGGAAUAUUGGACAAUGGGCGAAAGCCUGAUCCAGCAAUGCCGCGUGAGUGAUGAAGGCCUUAGGGUUGUAAAGCUCUUUUACCCGGGAUGAUAAUGACAGUACCGGGAGAAUAAGCUCCGGCUAACUCCGUG
rnacentral:rRNA from 1 species